UACGAAGGGGGCUAGCGUUGCUCGGAAUCACUGGGCGUAAAGGGUGCGUAGGCGGACUCUUAAGUCAGGGGUGAAAUCCUGGAGCUCAACUCCAGAACUGCCUUUGAUACAGCACGUCUUGAGUCCGGAAGAGGUGGGUGGAAUUCCUAGUGUAGAGGUGAAAUUCGUAGAUAUUAGGAAGAACACCGGUGGCGAAGGCGGCCCACUGGUCCGGUACUGACGCUGAGGUGCGAAAGCGUGGGGAGCAAACAGG
rnacentral:rRNA from 1 species